CCCACUCUCCUUAGCAGCAGCCGUUGGCCACACUUCCUUCCCCUAACAGUCAUACAACACCCACGUAGCUGAGAAAGAAAGGCAGAAAUGGAAAGGGAGAAGAGAUAGAGCUUGGAAUCAGAGAAGUAGAGGGAGCCGCACUCUGCACUGUCCAGCUCGCCGCCACCGCCGCGUCUCGCCUGCGCCGUCGCCUCUACUGAGUGGUUGCCGUCAUCACGCGAGAAAGGAGAAGGAGCUCCCAAGGGGUCGUUGAGCCGCUACGGUCACCGUCGUCUCGGCUGUUCCCACCGCCGUUGGAUCCGUCACGCGCGUCGUCGUCCGAGGAGCCACCGUCGUCCUUGCUCGUCGUCUCCCUU
rnacentral:lncRNA from 1 species